rnacentral:rRNA from 1 species
ACUUCUGAAGGUUGACCUCGGAUCAGGUAGGAAUACCCGCUGAACUUAAGCAUAUCAAUAA